rnacentral:rRNA from 1 species
ACGGAGAGUUUGAUCCUGGCUCAGGAUGAACGCUGGCGGCGUGCCUAACACAUGCAAGUCGAACGGUUAAACCGCCCUCGGGCGGACAUACAGUGGCGAACGGGUGAGUAACACGUGACCAACCUGCCCCGCGCUCCGGGACAACCGCUGGAAACGGCGGCUAAUACCGGAUACUCCGCGGCCCCCGCAUGGGGGCGGCGGGAAAGCCCCGACGGCGCGGGAUGGGGUCGCGGCCCAUUAGGUAGUAGGCGGGGUAGAGGCCCACCUAGCCGACGAUGGGUAGCCGGACUGAGAGGUCGAUCGGCCACAUUGGGACUGAGAUACGGCCCAGACUCCUACGGGAGGCAGCAGUGGGGAAUUUUGCGCAAUGGGGGAAACCCUGACGCAGCAACGCCGCGUGCGGGACGAAGGCCCUCGGGUCGUAAACCGCUUUCAGCAGGGAAGACCUUACGACGGUACCUGCAGAAGAAGCUCCGGCUAACUACGUGCCAGCAGCCGCGGUAAUACGUAGGGGGCGAGCGUUAUCCGGAUUCAUUGGGCGUAAAGCGCGCGUAGGCGGCCGCCUAAGCGGAACCUCUAACCCCGGGGCUCAACCUCGGGCCGGGUUCCGGACUGGGCGGCUCGAGUGCGGUAGAGGAGAGCGGAAUUCCCGGUGUAGCGGUGGAAUGCGCAGAUAUCGGGAAGAACACCGAUGGCGAAGGCAGCUCUCUGGGCCGUCACUGACGCUGAGGCGCGAAAGCUGGGGGAGCGAACAGGAUUAGAUACCCUGGUAGUCCCAGCCGUAAACGAUGGAUACUAGGUGUGGGGGGAUCCCCCCUCCGUGCCGCAGCCAACGCAUUAAGUAUCCCGCCUGGGGAGUACGGCCGCAAGGCUAAAACUCAAAGGAAUUGACGGGGGCCCGCACAAGCAGCGGAGCAUGUGGCUUAAUUCGAAGCAACGCGAAGAACCUUACCAGGGCUUGACAUGCGCCUGAAGCCGCGGAGACGCGGUGGCCGAGAGGAGGGCGCGCAGGUGGUGCAUGGCUGUCGUCAGCUCGUGUCGUGAGAUGUUGGGUUAAGUCCCGCAACGAGCGCAACCCCCGUCCCGUGUUGCCAGCAUUAGGUUGGGGACUCGCGGGAGACUGCCGGCGUCAAGCCGGAGGAAGGUGGGGACGACGUCAAGUCAUCAUGCCCCUUAUGCCCUGGGCUGCACACGUGCUACAAUGGCCGGUACAGAGGGUUGCCACCCCGCGAGGGGGAGCGGAUCCCGGAAAGCCGGCCCCAGUUCGGAUCGCAGGCUGCAACCCGCCUGCGUGAAGCCGGAGUUGCUAGUAAUCGCGGAUCAGCACGCCGCGGUGAAUACGUUCCCGGGCCUUGUACACACCGCCCGUCACACCACCCGAGUCGUCUGCACCCGAAGCCGCCGGCCGAACCCCCCUGGGGGCGGAGGCGUCGAAGGUGUGGAGGGUAAGGGGGGUGAAGUCGUAACAAGGUAGCCGUACCGGAAGGUGCGGCUGGAUCACCUCCUUUCUAGGGAG